UACGUAGGGGCCGAGCGUUGUCCGGAGUUACUGGGCGUAAAGCGCGCGCAGGCGGCUCGUCAAGCCUGACGUGAAAGCCCCCGGCUCAACCGGGGAGGGUCGUCGGGGACUGGCGGGCUUGAGGUCGGCAGGGGUUGGUGGAAUUCCCGGUGUAGUGGUGAAAUGCGUAGAUAUCGGAAGGAACACCGGUGGCGAAAGCGGCGCGCUGGACCUCUUCUGACGCUGAGGCGCGAAAGCCAGGGGAGCAAACGGG
rnacentral:rRNA from 1 species